rnacentral:tRNA from 1 species
GGUUAUGGCUCAGCAGUAGAGCGCGAGCCUCGCACAUGCGGGGCCUGGGUUCAAUCCUCAGCACCA